rnacentral:rRNA from 1 species
UACAGAGGUGCCGAGCGUUAGGCGGAAUCACUGGGCUUAAAGCGUGUGUAGGCGGAUCUGUAAGUACCUUGUGAAAUCCCACGGCUCAACCGUGGAACUGCUUGGUAUACUGCGGGUCUUGAGCCACCUAGGGGCAAGUGGAACAAACGGUGGAGCGGUGAAAUGCGUAGAUAUCGUGUGGAACGCCAAUGGUGAAAACAACUUGCUGGGGGUGUGCUGACGCUGAGACACGAAAGCCAGGGGAGCAAACGGG